rnacentral:rRNA from 1 species
ACAAGCGGUGGAGCAUGUGGUUUAAUUCGACGCAACGCGAAGAACCUUACCAGGGCUUGACAUCCCCUGACCGCGUAUGAAAGUACGUUUUCACCCUCGGGUGACAGGGAGACAGGUGGUGCAUGGUUGUCGUCAGCUCGUGUCGUGAGAUGUUGGGUUAAGUCCCGCAACGAGCGCAACCCCUACGUUUAGUUGCUAACGCGUGAAGGCGAGCACUCUAGACGAACUGCCGUUGACAAAACGGAGGAAGGUGGGGAUGACGUCAAAUCAUCAUGCCCCUUAUGUUCUGGGCUACACACGUGCUACAAUGGCCGGUACAGACGGACGCAAAGCCGCGAGGUGGAGCAAAUCCUAAAAAGCCGGUCUCAGUUCGGAUUGCAGGCUGCAAUUCGCCUGCAUGAAGUCGGAAUCGCUAGUAACCGCGAAUCAGCAGGUCGCGGUGAAUACGUUCCCGGGCCUU